AUUGAACGCUGGCGGCAUGCCUUACACAUGCAAGUCGAACGGUAACAGGUCUUCGGACGCUGACGAGUGGCGAACGGGUGAGUAAUACAUCGGAACGUGCCCAGUCGUGGGGGAUAACUACUCGAAAGAGUAGCUAAUACCGCAUACGAUCUGAGGAUGAAAGCGGGGGACCUCCGGGCCUCGCGCGAUUGGAGCGGCCGAUGGCAGAUUAGGUAGUUGGUAGGAUAAAAGCUUACCAAGCCGACGAUCUGUAGCUGGUCUGAGAGGACGACCAGCCACACUGGGACUGAGCCACGGCCCAGACUCAUACGGGAGGCAGCAGUGGGGAAUGUUGGACAAUGGGCGAAAGCCUGAUCCAGCAAUGCCGCGUGCAGGAUGAAGGCCUUCGGGUUGUAAACUGCUUUUGUACGGAACGAAAAAGCUCCUUCUAAUACAGGGGGCCCAUGACGGUACCGUAAGAAUAAGCACCGGCUAACUACGUGCCAGCCGCCGCAGUAA
rnacentral:rRNA from 1 species